GGAGGGGAUUAACUAGAAAAUUAGGAAAAUUAGAAUUAGGGUUUUAGACUUGAGGAUUGUUGAUAAAAGAGAAAUUGACAGGUGGGUAGUGACGGAUCACCUAAGUUCUUGUUUAUUUGUUAUACACUUUAUUUUAUUUUGUCAAACAACUUGUUUA
rnacentral:sRNA from 1 species